UAGUCUGUGAAUUUAUGCUAAAAUCCUGUUAUUUGUGUCUUUUAUUUACUUUGUGCAUUUUCCACAGCAUUUUCCUUUGCUGAUCUGUAGCCCAAGGAUGCAAAAAUCCUUCAUCAUCUCAUCACAAACAUCUCUUCUUAUCUGUUGCUGAAGGUGUGACGUCAGGCUGCAGACUACAAGAAUGCUGGUGCAUCAGAUAAUGAGUACAUUAGUCUGGAUUUCAAGGGACCUGUGCUGCAUAGAAGCAAGAUCACAGACCACAAGGCCACAAGAUCAUGUCCAUAACUAGAUAUGUUGUCAAAACUGUAGAUAUUCCCAAACACGAACACUUCCAGUGGCAUGCACAGGUCAUGGACUCCCCAUCUGGACCGCAAUUCCCAAAAUGCAUUCUGGACAGUCUCCUGACUGACCCAUGCUGUGCUUCUACCAGAUCCGACUGUGGUGUGCCACUAUUUGGGAAGGUGGGGCAAUAAAGGGAAAUAAAACACAAGGUACCACUGUGUUUCAGUUAGCCUCUUCUGCCUGAGCCUCAUCUACCUGAAUUAACGGCAAGCUACUACAAACAUUAAGGGCUUCAAGACCAGCUGUUAUCAUCAAGUCUCCUCUGUCUGUUUUCUUUUCUGGUGGUAACCAUGGCUUGCAGACACAAAAUGAAUCAUUACUUUAAAAACUUUCCUGUUGUUGUCUGUCUUUCCAGGAAUUUCUGUUUUAACAAGGCUUUUGACUGCUAAUUCAGAGACCAAGUGAGAUCUGUGGUCUCUAUGCUGUAUCUAAAUUGAUCUUAUACUUACCGCUGUAAUCACCAGGAUCCUAGUCCACUGAUAGUCCAGACAUGAAACUUUGUGAAACUGCAACAUAAUUCUCUCUUGGUCUUCAACCCCAAAUUUGUUUUAUACGUAAAUGGAUGGGGAGAGAGGUGGGUGUGCUAGGGUGAGGUGGAGAGGGGCUGAUGCUUCAAGGGGGUCUCUGCCUAACACAAGUAUGACACCUCCUUUGUAAUACAGUAUCUAUAGCAAGUUUACAGCUACUUUACACCCCUACUCCACAUGCAAUUUCUGCAUUAUUUCCACAUUGUUUUAAAUGGAAUUUACCUUUCAUAUGAAGGGUUCCGUUCCCCCAGCAUCCCUCCUCCCAGUGCUGGGGUGGCCCUAAAUACAUAAUUUGGACAGGGUCAACUGCUGCAACCCUAUGACAGUCAUUUUAACAGCUGGCUGUGGUCUGCUUUGUUUUUUGGUUUGUUUUUCAUUUUUUUCCCCCACUAUCAGGAAAAUACCUGUUUUAUUUUAUUUUCCCCUUUCUUAUAAAAAUGACACAUUCUUAUAGGUUUCAUCUGCUUAUUUUGUAAUUCUCCUUUAAGAAAGUCUUCUCUUCUCUCUCUGUGAAUCUUGCCUAGUAGGCAUAAGCUUGUUGGAACCAAGGUUUAUUGUUCUACAAUGUCAAAUCAUUCCUUUCUGUCAAUGAACUGCAGACAGAGGAGGUGAUCUUUUCAAGUUGGAGUUUGUACUCUAUGUGUUAUAAAGUUGUCUUCCACACAAUAAAGUUUUUUUUUCCCCCUCUAUUACUCA
ensembl:lncRNA